GGGCAUUAACUAAUCCGCGUGACUCGAGAAACUUGGGGAUGAUAUUGCAGAUAUGGCCUAUGCAUCAGACAAUGUGAUGCAAAUGUGGAAUCACUUAAUAUUAAUCAAUCAAAUAUUGAGCUUGAGAUGUCCAACUUGCGAGGUAUUAAUUCAGCUGAUGCUUGUAUGCUACAUUACUGUCUACACCUCAUGCCUUCAGCUUUU
rnacentral:misc_RNA from 1 species